UCCUUAGUUGCCAGCACGUAAAGGUGGGAACUCUAAGGAGACUGCCGGUGACAAACCGGAGGAAGGUGGGGAUGACGUCAAGUCAUCAUGGCCCUUACGGCCAGGGCUACACACGUACUACAAUGGUCGGUACAGAGGGUUGCAAUACCGCGAGGUGGAGCCAAUCCCAGAAAGCCGAUCCCAGUCCGGAUCGGAGUCUGCAACUCGACUCCGUGAAGUCGGAAUCGCUAGUAAUCGCGGAUCAGCUAUGCCGCGGUGAAUACGUUCCCGGGCCUU
rnacentral:rRNA from 1 species